AAAAAAAUAAAAUUAUUACUUAUAAAAUAAUCAAAAUUUAAUAAGUAUUACAUGCAAAGAAGGAAAUUAUGGCUCAACUUCUCACGUUUGUUUAUGCUUUGAUCAUCUUUCUUUCUCUAUUUCUUAUCAUAACAAGCAGAACUCGAUUGCCCUGUGAGAAGGACGAUGAUUGUCCAGAUGCAUUUUUGCCACCGAUUAUGAAAUGUAUUGAUAAUUAUUGUGAGUACGAGAUACCGUCAUAAUUAAGUAAAUAAUGUUUUGAAUAUCGGAGUAAUAAUUAAGUUUAAAACUAAAUUGUGCUAUUAUUGUUAAAAUUAUUAUAAUUAUAUGGUUAUGUUAA